rnacentral:tRNA from 1 species
GGGUGGGUGGCUCAGUGGUUAGAGCUUAGGGCUCGGGAGCGAAAGGUCCCGGGUUCGAAUCUCCGAUGAGGCA